GGUUAAGCGACUAAGCGUACACGGUGGAUGCCCUGGCAGUCAGAGGCGAUGAAGGACGUGCUAAUCUGCGAAAAGCGUCGGUAAGGUGAUAUGAACCGUUANANCCGGCGAUGUCCGAAUGGGGAAACCCAGUGCAAUUCGUUGCACUAUCGUUNACUGAAUACAUAGNUUAACGAGGCGAACCGGGGGAACUGAAACAUCUAAGUACCCCGAGGAAAAGAAAUCAACCGAGAUUCCCCCAGUAGCGGCGAGCGAACGGGGAGCAGCCCGGAGUCUGAAUCAGNUUGUGUGUUAGUGGAAGCGUCUGGAAAGUCGCAGGGUACAGGGUGAUACUCCCGUACACUAAAACACACAGGNUGUGAACUCGAAGAGUAGGGCGGGACACGUGGUAUCCUGUCUGAAUAUGGGGGGACCAUCCUCCAAGGCUAAAUACUCCUGACUGACCGAUAGUGAACCAGUACCGUGAGGGAAAGGCGAAAAGAACCCCGGCGAGGGGAGUGAAAAAGAACCUGAAACCGUGUACGUACAAGCAGUAGGAGCCCACUAGUUGGGUGACUGCGUACCUUUUGUAUAAUGGGUCAGCGACUUAUAUUCUGUAGCAAGGUUAACCGNAUAGGGGAGCCGCAGGGAAACCGAGUCUUAACUGGGCGUUAAGUUGCAGGGUAUAGACCCGAAACCCGGUGAUCUAGCCAUGGGCAGGUUGAAGGUUGGGUAACACUAACUGGAGGACCGAACCGACUAAUGUUGAAAAAUUAGCGGAUGACUUGUGGCUGGGGGUGAAAGGCCAAUCAAACCGGGAGAUAGCUGGUUCUCCCCGAAAGCUAUUUAGGUAGCGCCUCGUGAANUCAUCUUCGGGGGUAGAGCACUGUUUCGGCUAGGGGGUCAUCCCGACUUACCAACCCGAUGCAAACUACGAAUACCGAAGAAUGUUAUCACGGGAGACACACGGCGGGUGCUAACGUCCGUCGUGAAGAGGGAAACAACCCAGACCGCCAGCUAAGGUCCCAAAGUCAUGGUUAAGUGGGAAACGAUGUGGGAAGGCCCAGACAGCCAGGAUGUUGGCUUAGAAGCAGCCAUCAUUUAAAGAAAGCGUAAUAGCUCACUGGUCGAGUCGGCCUGCGCGGAAGAUGUAACGGGGCUAAACCAUGCACCGAAGCUGCGGCAGCGACNCUAUGNGUUGUUGGGUAGGGGAGCGUUCUGUAAGCCGUUGAAGGUGGCCUGUGAGGGUUGCUGGAGGUAUCAGAAGUGCGAAUGCUGACAUAAGUAACGAUAAUGCGGGUGAAAAACCCGCACGCCGGAAGACCAAGGGUUCCUGUCCAACGUUAAUCGGGGCAGGGUGAGUCGACCCCUAAGGCGAGGCCGAAAGGCGUAGUCGAUGGGAAACAGGUUAAUAUUCCUGUACUUGGUGUUNCUGCGAAGGGGGGACGGAGAAGGCUAUGUUGGCCGGGCGACGGUUGUCCCGGUUUAAGCAUGUAGGCGGAUGUUCCAGGUAAAUCCGGAACGUNANUAACGCUGAGGUGUGAUGACGAGGCACUACGGUGCUGAAGUGACAAAUGCCCUGCUUCCAGGAAAAGCCUCUAAGCAUCAGGUAACAUCAAAUCGUACCCCAAACCGACACAGGUGGUCAGGUAGAGAAUACCAAGGCGCUUGAGAGAACUCGGGUGAAGGAACUAGGCAAAAUGGUGCCGUAACUUCGGGAGAAGGCACGCUGAUGGUANGUGAAGNGACUUGCUCANGGAGCUGAAAUCAGUCGAAGAUACCAGCUGGCUGCAACUGUUUAUUAAAAACACAGCACUGUGCAAACACGAAAGUGGACGUAUACGGUGUGACGCCUGCCCGGUGCCGGAAGGUUAAUUGAUGGGGUUAUCCUCGNGGAGAAGCUCUUGAUCGAAGCCCCGGUAAACGGCGGCCGUAACUAUAACGGUCCUAAGGUAGCGAAAUUCCUUGUCGGGUAAGUUCCGACCUGCACGAAUGGCGUAAUGAUGGCCAGGCUGUCUCCACCCGAGACUCAGUGAAAUUGAACUCGCUGUGAAGAUGCAGUGUACCCGCGGCAAGACGGAAAGACCCCGUGAACCUUUACUAUAGCUUGACACUGAACACUGGUCCUUNAUGUGUAGGAUAGGUGGGAGGCUUUGAAGUGUGGACGCCAGUCUGCAUGGAGCCNUCCUUGAAAUACCACCCUUUAAUGGCUGGUGUUCUAACGUGGGCCCGUNAUCCGGGUUGCGGACAGUGUCUGGUGGGUAGUUUGACUGGGGCGGUCUCCUCCUAAAGAGUAACGGAGGAGCACGAAGGUCAGCUAAUCCUGGUCGGACAUCAGGAGGUUAGUGCAAUGGCAUAAGCUGGCUUGACUGCGAGCGUGACGGCGCGAGCAGGUGCGAAAGCAGGUCAUAGUGAUCCGGUGGUUCUGAAUGGAAGGGCCAUCGCUCAACGGAUAAAAGGUACUCCGGGGAUAACAGGCUGAUACCGCCCAAGAGUUCAUAUCGACGGCGGUGUUUGGCACCUCGAUGUCGGCUCAUCACAUCCUGGGGCUGAAGUAGGUCCCAAGGGUAUGGCUGUUCGCCAUUUAAAGUGGUACGCGAGCUGGGUUUAGAACGUCGUGAGACAGUUCGGUCCCUAUCUGCCGUGGGCGCUGGAGAAUUGAGGGGGGCUGCUCCUAGUACGAGAGGACCGGAGUGGACGCAUCACUGGUGUUCGGGUUGUCAUGCCAAUGGCANUGCCCGGUAGCUAAAUGCGGAAGAGAUAAGUGCUGAAAGCAUCUAAGCACGAAACUUGCCCCGAGAUGAGUUCUCCCUGACNCNUUNAGNGUCCUGAAGGAACGUUGAAGACGACGACGUUGAUAGGCCGGGUGUGUAAGCGCAGCGAUGCGUUGAGCUAACCGGUACUAAUGAACCGUGAGGCUUAACCUU
rnacentral:rRNA from 1 species